rnacentral:lncRNA from 1 species
CCCCCCCUGUGACCAGUCCCAUCUCUGAAGGUUCUGGGUACAACGUGGGUAAGCCCUACACACAAAACCCCAAAGUAGCCUUAGGUAUUUUCCCCCAGCCCAGCAUGGCCACCUGAGGAUGGCUUUAACCUAUAAGCCUCUUGGGUAUCUAGGGUACAGUGUAAAAGUGAGGUCCCAGUGUCCUCCAGCCCCUCCAGUGAGGCUGAGGGUUGUGAGGAGGAAACCACAGGCCCAGUAUAGGAGGCUUGUCAUCUGAGAGAGAAGGGGAGAGAUGGUACUGGAGGCUGGGAGUCAACCAAUCAGGCUCUGGAGACCUGUGCUUGUGCUGGCUAGUACCACCAGCAGGUGUGAGCAAGGACGGCAGAGCCAGGUCACCUCAAAGGACCCCUAUUCCCACGAAAGGACCGCAGAGUGGAGAUGUUGGCAGAGCCGACCUCCCAGUGUGCAAAGAGUGCUUGCUGGUAUUGCCAAGUAAGUGAGGACAGGUAUGGGAGGUGUAGCCUGGUCCCCAGUUCUGGGGUGGGCCAUGGCCAACCUCUGGGGAAUGGACAGGCACUUUGCUAAAGGUGGGGUGCCUGCCCAGCCAAGGUAAUGAGGCAGGCCCUGAACUACCAAUGUUCCAAGCCCCUGCUCUGCUUCAGCCAAACCAGAACCCUGGAGCUCCUUGGAUGCUCGUCCCUCUCUUUUCUUUUUGGGCGACUCAGAACAGUGUGGGGGGAAGGACCCCCCUCCCCCACUUUGGGCAGCAGCUGCAGCUGGGAACUGGCAGGCAGAGGAGGCCCUGCUCCCCGGAAGGCCUGGCUAUGCCCAGCCUCAUGGCCCACCUGCUUCACUCCGACUCUACCACUACACGAGGGUUUUUCAGAAAAUGGCGACACGAACACCCCACCACCACGACAACAACACAAACCAAAGUGCACUCCGAACCGCCCUUUGGCCUCCUUCAAUGUAGGUGCCUUGAAACUUCAAUGUUGAGAUGAAUGUGACUAAUUACUUGGUCCUAUUUUCUGUUUGUCUGUUUCAUAUAAAAUGUCCAAGUCCACCUGCCUUGUCCUUUCUUGAAAUAAAUAGAAAGAUUU